AGAGCGGACAGGGCGAUGGCAGGUUCGCCGGGUGUGAGGCUUCACAGCGGUCCGGUGACCAAGUCGAGGAUUUUUCUGGUGGUCUAGUCUCAGAGAUUACAUCUGUAGUCAGCACAAUGAUUCCCUUCCAAGCCCAGUGGUGCCCAGUUGCCUCCAGGUCCCAGACCUUUAUGUGGACAAGAAAAGCUUACAGAGGAAAUGGUAAUUCUCCACUUGCACACUGAGGUGUCCAGUUGCAGCCCAUGGAGAUCCAGUUCAAUUAUGAAUCUCAGGAACACCACCUUCUGUCAGAUGGUGAGAACAAGACCAAGAUUGGAAAGCCAGCUUCAGAGGAGGGAAUUACAGCAAAAAUUGAACCAUUGACAGAAGAGUCUAGCAGUCUCAGAAUGUUCUCCAGGAUUCUGAAGGCAAAGAAUUCUGUGAAUUUGGGGAUAAAUUAAAUGAAAAAGAUCAGAACGUCUUUAAAAGGAGACCUCAUAACUGUGACGAAUAUGGGCAAAGCUUUGUUUGGAGUACAAGCCUUUUUAGGCAUCGAAAAACGCACUGUGAGAAACCUUAUGAAUGGGAUAAGUGUGGAAAGGCCACUGGGGAGAAACCUUAUUCCUGUAAUUGGUGUAUUAAAAGUUUCAGUUGGAGCUCAGACCUUAUUAAACACCAAAGAGUCCACACUGGUGAAAAACCUUAUAAAUGUGAUGAGUGUGGGAAAGCCUUCAGUCAGAGCUCAGAUCUUAUUAUACAUCAGAGAAUCCAUAUAGGAGAAAAACCCUAUCAAUGCCGUCAUUGUAGUAAAAGUUUUAGCCAGCGCUCAGAUCUGGUUAAACAUCAGAGAAUCCAUACUGGAGAGAAGCCUUAUACUUGUAACCAGUGUAACAAACAUUUUAGAGUUCUGAUGUGAUAAAACAUCAAAGAAUCCACACUGGGGAGAAACCAUAUAAAUGUGAUGUGUGUGGGAAAGCCUUCAGUCAGAGCUCAGAUCUUAUUCUGCAUCAGAGAAUCCAUACUGGGGAGAAACCAUAUCCAUGUAAUCAGUGUAGCAAAAGUUUCAGUCAGAAUUCAGACCUUAUUAAACAUCGAAGGAUCCACACUGGAGAGAAACCCUAUAAAUGUAAUGAGUGUGGGAAAGCUUUUAAUCAGAGCUCAGUCCUUAUUUUACAUCAGAGGAUUCAUACUGGAGAGAAACCCUAUCCCUGUGAUCAAUGUAGCAAAACCUUCAGUAGGCUUUCAGAUCUUAUUAAUCAUCAACGAAUUCACACUGGAGAGAAGCCUUACCCAUGUAAUCAGUGCAAUAAAAUGUUUAGUCGAAGAUGAGAUCUUGUUAAACAUCACAGAAUUCAUACAGGUGAGAAACCCUAUGAAUGUGAUGAAUGUGGGAAAACCUUUAGUCAGAGCUCCAACCUUAUUCUUCAUCAGAGAAUCCACACUGGAGAGAAACCUUAUGCAUGUAGUGAUUGUACUAAAAGCUUUAGUCGCCGUUCAGAUCUUGUUAAGCAUCAAAGAAUACACACUGGAGAGAAACCAUAUGCAUGUAAUCAGUGUGAUAAAAGUUUUAGUCAAAGCUCAGACCUCACUAAACAUCAGAGAGUACACUCUGGUGAAAAGCCUUAUCAUUGCAAUAGUUGUGAGAAAGCCUUCAGUCAGAGUUCUGACCUUAUUCUUCAUCAGAGAAUUCACACUGGAGAAAAACUAUUAUCUGUGCACACAGUGCAGCAAAAGUUUCAGUCAGAUCUCAGACCUCAUUAAACACCAGAGAAUCCACACUGGGGAAAAACCAUAUAAAUGCAGUGAGUGCAGGAAGGCUUUCAGUCAGUGCUCAGCUCUUACCCUACACCAGAGAAUCCACACUGGGAAGAAACCAAAUCCAUGUGAUGAGUGUGGCAAAAGCUUUAGUCGGCGUUCUGAUCUCAUUAACCAUCAAAAAAUACACACUGGUGAAAAGCCGUAUAAGUGUGAUGCAUGUGGGAAAGCCUUCAGCACAUGUACUGAUCUUAUUGAACACCAGAAAACCCAUGCUGAGGAGAAACCCUACCAGUGUGUUCAGUGCAGCAGAAGUUGUAGCCAACUCUCUGAACUUACUAUUCAUGAGGAAGUCCAUUGUGGAGAAGACAGUCAAAAUGUGAUGAAUGUGAGAAAACCUUUAGUGUGUACACCAACUCUAUUCAGUACCAGAGACACUGUACCAGAAAAAAAUCUAAUGAAUGCUGUUGAUUAUUGAUGAGUAUGAAAAAGGUUUUAAUCAGUGUUCAACUCUUAUGCUACAUUAAAACCACACUGGAUCCGGAUACGUAUGGUGGCUCACGCCUGUAAUCCCAACACUUUGGGAGGCAGAUGUGGAAGCAUCAUUUGAGCCCAGGAGUUUGAGGCUGCAGUGAGCUAUGAUUCCACCAUUGCACUCCAGUCUGGGCAACAGAGCAAGACCCUGUCUAUUUAAAAAAAAAAAAAAACCACCAAUACCACAUGGGAGAAAACAUUAAUUCAGUUUUUGUAAUGAAAGGUUAACUCAGAGCUCAGACAUUACUAAAAUUAAGAAAAAUUCUCCAGCCUGACCAACAUGGUGAAACCCUGUCUCUACCAAAAAAUAAAAAAUAAUUAGCUGGGCAUGGUGGCAGGCGCCUGUAGUCCCAGCUAUUCGGGAGGCUGAGGCAUGAGAAUCACUUGAACCUGGGAGGUGGGGGUUGCAGGGAGCCGAGAUCUGCCACUGCAUUCCAGCCUGGGCAACAGAGUGAGACUCUCUCAAAAAAAAAAAAAAAAGAAAAAAAAACUCUGAGGAAGAGUCCUGCGAGUUGUGGGAAAACCUUCAAAGUGAAAAACAUUUUUACUGAAUGUCAGUAUACCACAAUAGAAACAAAUUUCUAUCUUUUCUAUAAGACUAGGACUCAAUGAAAUUGCUGCCCCCAUGUUCCUGAGGCUCUGCAAGCUGAAGCUUAUUUCUCAUGAUAUAGGCAAGAAAAAUGUGUCAGGUUGCCACCACCUUCCUCCCUGGGCCAGAAUUUUCUGCUCUUACGAUGCUGAUGAUUGUCUAAGAUUGCACCAUCCACCCUGGAGGUUGCUGACUCCCAUUUGAUUGCUGGCCUGCCACUCAUCCUGUGCUGUUUUCUUGGAGCCUGACCUCCUCAGUGAUUGCUGCUGGAGAGACUGAAUGGUGCAACCUGGAAGUGCGGUGUAGCUGAUGCUCUGUGGUGGAAACUGACCAGAUGGAGAGAGGAGUCUGCAGAGAAGUCUUCUCUUUCUUCCUCACCCCAUAGUAAGGUAAGAUGCAGUACUUUAGUUCACAUGGCUUGUGCCCUGAAAAUGAUCAGUGAGACUAAGCAAACAGCUGUGCCUUUAGAAGCUACAGACAGCUCAAUAACACCUACUCAUAUUUGCUUUCUCUCCUCUGCUUCACUUCUCAUUUACCUUCAGUCAUGCUUUUCUUGAAUUGCAUCACCCUAAUAUUGUCUUAGUAAUAAGGUUUUGUCUUAGGCCCUAUUUUCUCAGGAAUCCAGACUAAGACAGGUUUCAUAGUGGAGAUGUUUAUUAGGCAAAGGGAUACAUGAGUCUGAAGUUCAGAGAAGAGGUCUCUGGGCUGGGGAUAUAGAUUUUGGAUUUGUAGAUAGUAUUUAACAAGAUAAGACCAUGAAAUCAACUAGGAAGUGGAUAUAGCUAGAAAAGAAAAGAGAGCUGAACACUGAGCCCUCAGGCACUCCAAUAUGUAGAAAGAAGUCCAGAGAGGUGAGGAAAUACCAGCAUUGAGACUGAGAAGAAACAGCUCAUGAGGUAGAGAGAAAUCAAGAGUGUUGUUCUGGAAGCCAAACUAAAAUAUGUCAAUUAUACAAAAUACUAUUCAUUGGUAAGCAAUGUAAGUCUGAGAAAUGAGAAUUGGAAUCAUCAACACUGAGGUUAUCAAACUUGGCUAGAACUCUAUGUUGAGAAAAAUUGUAUAAUAUAUAAUAAUGUCACACCUCUCACUCCUGAUAUAAUUUGUAUCUUCUUUUUCUCCUGAUCAGUUUGGCUAGAAGUUUAUCAAUUUUACUAUUAUUUUUACAAGAUACUUUUGGUUUAAAUUGAGUAUAGAAAUUCAUUUUUUGCUCGUUUUUCCGUUUCCUAUUUUAUUGAUUUCAAAUCUAAUCUUUAUUUCUUUUCCUCUCUUUAUCUUGGGUUUACUUUAUUCUUAUUCUAUCUUAUUAAGUUGGAAGCUGAGGUAAUUGAGAAAUUUUUUCUACUAUAAUUGCUUUAUUGCUAUGAAUUUCCCUCUAAGUAAUACUUUGACUGUAUCUCAUAGAUGAUGAUGAAGUUAAUGAUGAUGAUAAUAAUUUUAAUAUAUAUUUUUUGAAGAACUGUUUUAGGUUCACAGCAAAAUGGAGCAGAAGGUACAGAGAUUUCCCAUAUACGCCCUACCCCGACACAUGCAUAGCCUCCUCCAUUGUCAACAUCCCCCACCAGAGUGGUAUAUUUGUUACAACUGAUGAACCUACGUUAACACUACAUUAUCACCCCAAAUCCAUAAUUUACAUUAGGGUUCACUUUUGGUGGUGUACACUACAAGGGUUUGGACAAAUUUAUAAUGACAUAUAUCUACUAUUAUAAUAUAUACAGU
ensembl:lncRNA ZNF271P zinc finger protein 271, pseudogene